rnacentral:rRNA from 1 species
AUUGAACGCUGGCGGCAGGCUUAACACAUGCAAGUCGAGCGGGGAAGAGUAGCUUGCUACUUAACCUAGCGGCGGACGGGUGAGUAAUGCUUAGGAAUCUGCCUAUUAGUGGGGGACAACAUCUCGAAAGGGAUGCUAAUACCGCAUACAUCCUACGGGAGAAAGCAUGGGACCUUCGGGCCUUGCGCCAAUUAAUGAGCCUAGGUCGGAUUAGCUAGUUGGUGGGGUAAAGGCCUACCAAGGAGACGAUCUGUAGCGGGUCUGGGAGGAUGAUCCGCCACACUGGGACUGAGACACGGCCCAGACUCCUACGGGAGGCAGCAGUGGGGAAUAUUGGACAAUGGGGGGAACCCUGAUCCAGCCAUGCCGCGUGUGUGAAGAAGGCCUUUUGGUUGUAAAGCACUUUAAGCGAGGAGGAGGCUACCGAGAUUAAUACUCUUGGAUAGUGGACGUUACUCGCAGAAUAAGCACCGGCUAACUCUGUGCCAGCCGCCGCAGUAAGAC